rnacentral:rRNA from 1 species
UACGUAGGGUGCGAGCGUUGUCCGGAAUUAUUGGGCGUAAAGAGCUCGUAGGCGGUUUGUCGCGUCGGCCGUGAAAACUUGGGGCUUAACUCCAAGCUUGCGGUCGAUACGGACAGACUUGAGUUCGGCAGGGGAGACUGGAAUUCCUGGUGUAGCGGUGAAAUGCGCAGAUAUCAGGAGGAACACCGGUGGCGAAGGCGGGUCUCUGGGCCGAUACUGACGCUGAGGAGCGAAAGCGUGGGGAGCGAACAGG